UGUCCAGGCGUCAACUUCUAUAACCACUCCAGUAAAGCAAGUCAUCAAUCCCCAAAUCGGCCAUGUUGACAAAUAGAGGACUCAAUACCAAAACAAGGAAGAAAAUCCAUGAGUCCAUCGAGAACGCUCUUUGACCGUGCCUACAAAAUUGACGAGAAGUGAAGAGAACUGCUUAGGAUGAGAAGAGUUCAGUGUCUGAGGUUAGAAAUACGUCGAUGCAAAUAGCUGGUGCAGCGGAUCUUCAACAAUGCCAACAUUGAGUUUUUGGAAUUUUUAAGUUUUGAACUUUUUUUGGCACUUGGAGUUCAAUAUUUCCUAAAUGCAAUUGUAUUCUUAGACAUACAGAAGCAGAUGUACAUGUCAUGGUGUCACAGUUACAUAUGCAUGCACCAGUCUCCUAACCAAAACCCUACGUGCACAUGCUAUGGAGGUGUUAAAAUUCUGAAACAAAGUAUUUGAAAGACGAUGAAACCAGGCUUACAAUUUCCAUUUUCACAAGCACGCAGUUUGACAGUAGCUACAAGAAUUGGCGAGAAGUUAAGUUGGUUUAGUGUCAAGCAGAGAGCCUGCCGAGGAUGAGUAGAGUCCAGUGUCUGAUGUUAGAGGUGCAUCGACGCUGAUAGCUGUGAGGAGUUUUGCUUAAGCCAUCCAAAAGUCUUGUGAUUACUUUCUACGAGCAAGAAGUUUAUUGCUAAAUUUUUAUUCUAUGUGAUAGAUUACAUGUCUUCCCCAAUCCUCCUUUUGUUCUACGGCUUCCAGAAGCAUCUCUCUCGCGCUCGCCCUUGUUUAGUUGGUCGUUCUCCACCUUAAAAAGUUAGGCCUUGUUCAUGGGUCUCCAUCUUUGAGCUUGUUGGUUU